rnacentral:rRNA from 1 species
AGUGAACGCUGGCGGCAGGCUUAACACAUGCAAGUCGAACGGCAGCACAGUAAGAGCUUGCUCUUACGGGUGGCGAGUGGCGGACGGGUGAGGAAUACAUCGGAAUCUACUUUUUCGUGGGGGAUAACGUAGGGAAACUUACGCUAAUACCGCAUACGACCUACGGGUGAAAGCAGGGGAUCUUCGGACCUUGCGCGAUUGAAUGAGCCGAUGUCGGAUUAGCUAGUUGGCGGGGUAAAGGCCCACCAAGGCGACGAUCCGUAGCUGGUCUGAGAGGAGGAUCAGCCACACUGGAACUGAGACACGGUCCAGACUCCUACGGGAGGCAGCAGUGGGGAAUAUUGGACAAUGGGCGCAAGCCUGAUCCAGCCAUACCGCGUGGGUGAAGAAGGCCUUCGGGUUGUAAAGCCCUUUUGUUGGGAAAGAAAAGCAGCAGGUUAAUACCCCGCUGUUCUGACGGUACCCGAAGAAUAAGCACCGGCUAACUUCGUG